rnacentral:lncRNA from 1 species
AUGCCCGAGGGAGCGAGGCGACCGGGGACCACUGGGCACGAGUCCCAAGGGUUCCAAGCCACAGGAAAAAAGGUCCUGGUCUGGGCUGCUGGCAUGUUCAUUCCUCAGAAUCAAUUGGGAAUCAGUUCAAAGACAAAUCAGCAAAGCUCGGAUUCUGAAGGUAAUUUUGAGACCCCUGAAACUGAAACGCCCAUCCGAUCCCCUCUCAAGGAAUCCUGUGAGUCGUACCUCGGACUGGCAGGCUCCGGGGCCAAGACCCAAGUUUCAGACUCACAAGAAGAGGACGAAGAGCUGGUGGCUGAAGUGGUUGGAAGCUGUUCAUCUGCGGCCGCUUCUCGACCCUCAGGGCAGGAGGCAGUGUCGCCCGCCGGCGGGCCUCGCCCAGUCAAGGAUUUCAGAGAAGAGCCCGAACAUGACGCCAGCAAGAUCUCCGUCGUGAGGCCGUUUUCCAUAGAAUCCAGAAACUGCGGGGACGUCCCCGGGGCGUCUGGCAUAGCCGUGCUCCUCGGCCCAGCCGCGGGCGUGCAAGACAGCGAAGCCAUGACCGCCGGCGCCACCCUGGAAGCUGACCCCAGGGCGGGCAGUCCACGUCCAGAGCCCGGGGCUGGCCGGAGCCGCCUGCGGAAGCCGCGGCCCGUGCCCCUGCGGAAGAAGGCGCUGGGUGGCGAGCUCUCGGAAGCAGCCCCUGCCCUGGAGGGUGUGCGUCCCGACGGGGAGGAUGGGAAGGCCGGAAGCCAGAAAUGUGCCCCUGAGAUGAUGGAAACGCCAGGCGGAGAUGCCCACGACUCGGGGGCCGAGCGGCCGGAGGAUGGGAGGAGCCCCCUGCUGCAACGCGAGUUCGAUUUCGUCGAAGACGCGGAGACCGUGGAGUCCAGGAGAGCCCUCCCGAGGAAGCCUGGCCGGAAACCGGGCAGCAGAGUCAUGCCGCAGGUUCAUGGCGCCAAGGUGCCUCCGGAGCCGGGCCCCGGGGCGAGCCCCACCCUGCGGCCCUGUGGCGGCCCCCUGGCGCGGCAGCACUCGCCCCCGCUCUCCGCCCAGGGCUCCUACUGCUUUGACCCGGACCACUUUGACGAGUCCGAAGAUCCCUUUAAACCCAGUAUGACUUUCACCAGCGGUGACUUUGGUUCUCCCGCCGGUAAUCAAGUUAAUGAAAUCUUAGAAUCACCCAAGAAGGCCAAGUCGCGUUUAAUAACGAGUGGCUGUAAGGUGAAGAAAUAUGAAGCCCAGUCUCUUGCUUUGGAUGGGUGUUCUCAGGAUGAAGAAGCAGUGAUCUCCCAGAUCGCAGACAUUUCUAAUAGGGACGGUCAUGCUACCGAUGAGGAGAAGCUGGCAUCCACGUCAUCGGGUCAGAAACCCACUGGGGCCGAGGGGAAAGGCACUGAGAAGGAACCGUGUCAGAAGAUGGAGAAGGAUGGAUCCACUGUGCCCGCACUGCUGGAAUCCCCGGUGGAGAAGACCCCCGUGUCUGUGGCCUGCGGGGUGGAGAGCCCCCUGGACGGCAUCUGCCUCAGCGAAUCAGAUAAGACCGCCGUGCUCACCCUGAUAAGGGAAGAGAUAAUCACUAAAGAGAUCGAAGCAAGUGAGUGGAAGAAGAAAUACGAAGAAACCCGACAAGAAGUCUUGGAGAUGAGGAAAAUUGUGGCUGAGUAUGAGAAGACCAUUGCCCAAAUGAUUGAAGAUGAACAGAGGACAAGCAUGAGCUCUCAGAAGAGCUUCCAGCAGCUGACCAUGGAGAAGGAGCAGGCCCUGGCUGACCUCAACUCGGUGGAAAGGUCCCUCUCCGACCUGUUCAGGAGAUAUGAGAACCUGAAGGGCGUCCUGGAAGGGUUCAAGAAGAAUGAAGAAGCCUUGAAAAAAUGUGCUCAGGAUUACUUAGCCAGAGUUAAACAAGAAGAGCAAAGGUAUCAGGCCCUGAAGAUCCACGCUGAGGAAAAACUAGACAAAGCCAAUGAGGAGAUUGCUCAGGUUCGAACAAAAGCCAAGGCUGAGAGCGCGGCUCUCCACGCGGGGCUCCGGAAGGAACAGAUGAAGGUGGAGUCCUUGGAGAGGGCCCUUCAGCAGAAGAACCAAGAAAUCGAAGAACUGACGAAAAUCUGCGAUGAGCUGAUUGCCAAGCUGGGAAAGACGGACUGAGUUUCCCCUGUAAGCUCAGCAGAUCUGCAUUCGGCUGCUUCUCUCGUGACCACAAUUAUCUUGCCUUAUCCAGGAAUAAUUGCCCCUUUGCAGAGAAAAAAAACACUUUAUGAAAGCACAUGCCUACUGCUGCCUGUCCCGCUUUGCUGCCGACACGCCCGCCCCGAGAAAACGCUGGAGGAUUCAUCACGCAGACAUGGAAAGAGUGGCCCGACCAUCCUGUCGAUGGGCUCUGGGCAGGAUUCUCUAUCUUUGUGUGUGAGGAGCCUCGUCCGGAGGAAUCUAACGCUGCAUUGACUACUGCUGUCAGGAU